rnacentral:lncRNA from 1 species
AAGUGAGUUCUUCCACCCAUCAGGUAGAUAGAGCUGAAGGUAAAAUAAGUAAGAUGGAUAAAACAAGUAAGAUAGGUAGGAAGAGGAGUUGAGCUAGCAGCGCAUGUAGCACUGCCACGAUAUUAACCUAUCGUGUCAUUAAAUUUUUUUUAAAAUUCAUUACUAACACAUAAUUAUUGUAUAUUUAUCCUCAGAUAGAGCUCGUGCAUAAAUACCGAUGCAUCUUUACAGAAGGGAGGGGGAGGGCUCGAGACGAUAUCGAGAAGAUGGAGCUCCAGAGGAUGCUCGCCAAAAAGGAUAAGUUAAUUUUUGAGUUGCAAAUG